rnacentral:rRNA from 1 species
UACAGAGGUCUCAAGCGUUGUUCGGAUUCAUUGGGCGUAAAGGGUGCGUAGGCGGCGUGGUAAGUCGGGUGUGAAAUCUCGGGGCUUAACUCCGAAACUGCAUUCGAUACUGCCGUGCUUGAGGACUGGAGAGGAGACUGGAAUUUACGGUGUAGCGGUGAAAUGCGUAGAUAUCGUAAGGAAGACCAGUGGCGAAGGCGGGUCUCUGGACAGUUCCUGACGCUGAGGCACGAAGGUCAGGGGAGCAAACGGG